rnacentral:misc_RNA from 1 species
AAGUCGUAACAAGGUUUCCGUAGGUGAACCUGCGGAAGGAUCAUUAAAUAAUCAAUAAUUUUGGCUUGUCCAUUAUUAUCUAUUUACUGUGAACUGUAUUAUUACUUGACGCUUGAGGGAUGCUCCACUGCUAUAAGGAUAGGCGAUGGAGAUGCUAACCGAGUCAUAAUCAAGCUUAGGCUUGGUAUCCUAUUAUUAUUUACCAAAAGAAUUCAGAAUUAAUAUUGUAACAUAGACCUAAAAAAUCUAUAAAACAACUUUUAACAACGGAUCUCUUGGUUCUC